rnacentral:rRNA from 1 species
GAUGAACGCUGGCGGCGUGCCUAAUACAUGCAAGUCGAGCGAACAGACGAGGAGCUUGCUCCUCUGACGUUAGCGGCGGACGGGUGAGUAACACGUGGAUAACCUACCUAUAAGACUGGGAUAACUUCGGGAAACCGGAGCUAAUACCGGAUAAUAUAUUGAACCGCAUGGUUCAAUAGUGAAAGACGGUUUUGCUGUCACUUAUAGAUGGAUCCGCGCCGCAUUAGCUAGUUGGUAAGGUAACGGCUUACCAAGGCAACGAUGCGUAGCCGACCUGAGAGGGUGAUCGGCCGCACUGGAACGGAGACACGGACCAGACGCCUACGGGAGGGAGCAGUAGGGAAUGUUCCGCAAUGGGCGAAAGCCUGGCGGAGCAACGCCGCGUGAGUGAUGAAGGUCUUCGGAUCGUAAAACUCUGUUAUGAGGGAAGAACAAAUGUGUAAGUAACUAUGCACGUCUUGACGGUACCUAAUCAGAAAGCCACGGCUAACUACGUG